rnacentral:lncRNA from 1 species
AGGAAACCUCCAGAGUCAAGUGGAAAGUGAACUGGAAAUGAUGAGUAAAGCUCUCGAGGAGGCAGCUAGACAGGCAGAAGUACAGAUCCAAGAUCUAUUCACGUAUUUACAGACAACUCUUCACCUCUGGGAGGUCCAUCAGAACCACCUGACCCAGGAAGAAAUCAAUCUUGAGAAGAGACUAGAGCAGUAUCGCUAUAAACACAAUUAUG